rnacentral:rRNA from 1 species
UGAAUGGUGGAACGAGGGCUUAACUGUCUCCCCUUUCAAGUCAAUGAAAUUGAUCUGCCCGUGCAGAAGCGGACAUAUAAGUACAAGACGAGAAGACCCUUUGGAGCUUAAGAUACAAGAUCAACUAUGUCAAUGAUCACAAAAUUAAAUAGCACCUGAUCCUAAUCUUCAGUUGGGGCGACCACGGGAGAAAAUAAAGCUCCCACGCGGACCGGGGUAACCACCCCAAAACCAAGAAAAACACCUCUAAGUCGCAGAAUUUCUGACCAAAAGAUCCGGCCCCCCCGCCGACCAACGAACCAAGUUACCCUAGGGAUAACAGCGCAAUCCCCUUUCAGAGUCCAUAUCGACAAGGGGGUUUACGACCUCGAUGUUGGAUCAGGACAUCCUAAUGGUGCAG